ACAAGCGGUGGAGCAUGUGGUUUAAUUCGAUGCAACGCGAAGAACCUUACCUGGGCUUGACAUCCCAAGAAUCCCUGGAAACAGGGGAGUGCCCUUCGGGGAGCUUGGAGACAGGUGCUGCAUGGCUGUCAUCAGCUCGUGUCGUGAGAUGUUGGGUUAAGUCCCGCAACGAGCGCAACCCCUACGUUUAGUUGCUAACGCGUGAAGGCGAGCACUCUAGACGAACUGCCGUUGACAAAACGGAGGAAGGUGGGAUGACGUCAAAUCAUCAUGCCCCUUAUGUUCUGGGCUACACACGUGCUACAAUGGCCGGUACAGACGGAGGCGAAGCCGCGAGGCGGAGCAAAUCCGAAAAAGCCGGUCUCAGUUCGGAUUGCAGGCUGCAAUUCGCCUGCAUGAAGUCGGAAUCGCUAGUAAUCGCAGGUCAGCAUACUCGCGGUCGAAUACGUUCCCGGGCCUU
rnacentral:rRNA from 1 species